ensembl:lncRNA
CUUUUCUCUAAAUGGGCGGGCCUUGUUAUCACUAACUUUAUGACAAGUUCCGCCCGAUAGAAUCUUUAUUGGAAAAAAAAUAUAUACGCUGAUAAAGCUAACUAUUAUUCACGUCACAAUGGAAGCAGCGAAUAACAUAAGGUGAAUGCAGAAACUCAUUAAAAUCCCCAGUCAGGAUGGACCGCAGUGUCAUAUUACGUAACGGUUAUCUAUAUCUGAGCUGGACAGUGAUGUGUUCGGGGAUGUGGAGACUGUGUCACUUCGCUUCCAGCAGCUGUUUGAUUCACAAGAUUCUAAUUGAUGGACUGGAGUCGUGUAGAUUACUUGAGGAUUGCGGUGGCGUUUUAAUCAGCUGUUUGGACUCUGACGGCACCUAUUCACUCUAGAGGAUCCAUUGGUAAGCAAGUGAUGUAAUUCUAAAUUUCUCCAAAUCUGCUCAGAUGAAAAAACAAGCUCAUCUACAUCUUAGAUGGCCUGAAGGGGAGUAAAUUUCCAUUUUUGGAAGAACUAUUGCAUUAGCUUAAGGAUCUGACACCAGGCUACAGUACUUUUACAGGAAGAUACUUUUACCAAAAAUACUCAUCGAUCGAACUGCAGCAGGAAAACAACAA